AUUGAACGCUGGCGGCAUGCCUUACACAUGCAAGUCGAACGGUAACGCGGGGCAACCUGGCGACGAGUGGCGAACGGGUGAGUAAUAUAUCGGAACGUGCCCAGUAGUGGGGGAUAGCCCGGCGAAAGCCGGAUUAAUACCGCAUACGACCUAAGGGUGAAAGCGGGGGAUCGCAAGACCUCGCGCUAUUGGAGCGGCCGAUAUCAGAUUAGGUAGUUGGUGGGGUAAAGGCCUACCAAGCCGACGAUCUGUAGCUGGUCUGAGAGGACGACCAGCCACACUGGGACUGAGACACGGCCCAGACUCCUACGGGAGGCAGCAGUGGGGAAUUUUGGACAAUGGGCGAAAGCCUGAUCCAGCCAUUCCGCGUGCAGGAUGAAGGCCCUCGGGUUGUAAACUGCUUUUGUACGGAACGAAACGGCCUUUUCUAAUACAGAGGGCUAAUGACGGUACCGUAAGAAUAAGCACCGGCUAACUACGUGCCAGCAGCCGCGGUAAUG
rnacentral:rRNA from 1 species